UUAAGUUAUUAAGGGCGCACGGUGGAUGCCUUGGCACUAGAAGCCGAUGAAGGACGUUACUAACGACGAUAUGCUUUGGGGAGCUGUAAGUAAGCUUUGAUCCAGAGAUUUCCGAAUGGGGAAACCCAGCAUGAGUUAUGUCAUGUUAUCGAUAUGUGAAUACAUAGCAUAUCAGAAGGCACACCCGGAGAACUGAAACAUCUUAGUACCCGGAGGAAGAGAAAGAAAAUUCGAUUCCCUUAGUAGCGGCGAGCGAAACGGGAAGAGCCCAAACCAACAAGCUUGCUUGUUGGGGUUGUAGGACACUCUAUACGGAGUUACAAAGGACGACAUUAGACGAAUCAUCUGGAAAGAUGAAUCAAAGAAGGUAAUAAUCCUGUAGUCGAAAAUGUUGUCUCUCUUGAGUGGAUCCUGAGUACGACGGAGCACGUGAAAUUCCGUCGGAAUCUGGGAGGACCAUCUCCUAAGGCUAAAUACUCUCUAGUGACCGAUAGUGAACCAGUACCGUGAGGGAAAGGUGAAAAGCACCCCGGAAGGGGAGUGAAAUAGAACCUGAAACCGUGUGCUUACAAGUAGUCAGAGCCCGUUAAUGGGUGAUGGCGUGCCUUUUGUAGAAUGAACCGGCGAGUUACGAUUUGAUGCAAGGUUAAGCAGUAAAUGUGGAGCCGUAGCGAAAGCGAGUCUGAAUAGGGCGUUUAGUAUUUGGUCGUAGACCCGAAACCAGGUGAUCUACCCUUGGUCAGGUUGAAGUUCAGGUAACACUGAAUGGAGGACCGAACCGACUUACGUUGAAAAGUGAGCGGAUGAACUGAGGGUAGCGGAGAAAUUCCAAUCGAACCUGGAGAUAGCUGGUUCUCUCCGAAAUAGCUUUAGGGCUAGCCUCAAGUGAUGAUUAUUGGAGGUAGAGCACUGUUUGGACGAGGGGCCCCUCUCGGGUUACCGAAUUCAGACAAACUCCGAAUGCCAAUUAAUUUAACUUGGGAGUCAGAACAUGGGUGAUAAGGUCCGUGUUCGAAAGGGAAACAGCCCAGACCACCAGCUAAGGUCCCAAAAUAUAUGUUAAGUGGAAAAGGAUGUGGCGUUGCCCAGACAACUAGGAUGUUGGCUUAGAAGCAGCCAUCAUUUAAAGAGUGCGUAAUAGCUCACUAGUCGAGUGACACUGCGCCGAAAAUGUACCGGGGCUAAACAUAUUACCGAAGCUGUGGAUUGUCCUUUAGACAAUGGUAGGAGAGCGUUCUAAGGGCGUUGAAGCAUGAUCGUAAGGACAUGUGGAGCGCUUAGAAGUGAGAAUGCCGGUGUGAGUAGCGAAAGACGGGUGAGAAUCCCGUCCACCGAUUGACUAAGGUUUCCAGAGGAAGGCUCGUCCGCUCUGGGUUAGUCGGGUCCUAAGCUGAGGCCGACAGGCGUAGGCGAUGGAUAACAGGUUGAUAUUCCUGUACCACCUAUAAUCGUUUUAAUCGAUGGGGGGACGCAGUAGGAUAGGCGAAGCGUGCGAUUGGAUUGCACGUCUAAGCAGUAAGGCUGAGUAUUAGGCAAAUCCGGUACUCGUUAAGGCUGAGCUGUGAUGGGGAGAAGACAUUGUGUCUUCGAGUCGUUGAUUUCACACUGCCGAGAAAAGCCUCUAGAUAGAAAAUAGGUGCCCGUACCGCAAACCGACACAGGUAGUCAAGAUGAGAAUUCUAAGGUGAGCGAGCGAACUCUCGUUAAGGAACUCGGCAAAAUGACCCCGUAACUUCGGGAGAAGGGGUGCUCUUUAGGGUUAACGCCCAGAAGAGCCGCAGUGAAUAGGCCCAAGCGACUGUUUAUCAAAAACACAGGUCUCUGCUAAACCGUAAGGUGAUGUAUAGGGGCUGACGCCUGCCCGGUGCUGGAAGGUUAAGAGGAGUGGUUAGCUUCUGCGAAGCUACGAAUCGAAGCCCCAGUAAACGGCGGCCGUAACUAUAACGGUCCUAAGGUAGCGAAAUUCCUUGUCGGGUAAGUUCCGACCCGCACGAAAGGCGUAACGAUUUGGGCACUGUCUCAACGAGAGACUCGGUGAAAUCAUAGUACCUGUGAAGAUGCAGGUUACCCGCGACAGGACGGAAAGACCCCGUGGAGCUUUACUGUAGUCUGAUAUUGAAAUUCGGCACAGCUUGUACAGGAUAGGUAGGAGCCUUUGAAACGUGAGCGCUAGCUUACGUGGAGGCGCUGGUGGGAUACUACCCUAGCUGUGUUGGCUUUCUAACCCGCACCACUUAUCGUGGUGGGAGACAGUGUCAGGCGGGCAGUUUGACUGGGGCGGUCGCCUCCUAAAAGGUAACGGAGGCGCUCAAAGGUUCCCUCAGAAUGGUUGGAAAUCAUUCAUAGAGUGUAAAGGCAUAAGGGAGCUUGACUGCGAGACCUACAAGUCGAGCAGGGUCGAAAGACGGACUUAGUGAUCCGGUGGUUCCGCAUGGAAGGGCCAUCGCUCAACGGAUAAAAGCUACCCCGGGGAUAACAGGCUUAUCUCCCCCAAGAGUUCACAUCGACGGGGAGGUUUGGCACCUCGAUGUCGGCUCAUCGCAUCCUGGGGCUGUAGUCGGUCCCAAGGGUUGGGCUGUUCGCCCAUUAAAGCGGUACGCGAGCUGGGUUCAGAACGUCGUGAGACAGUUCGGUCCCUAUCCGUCGUGGGCGUAGGAAAUUUGAGAGGAGCUGUCCUUAGUACGAGAGGACCGGGAUGGACAUACCUCUGGUGUACCAGUUGUCGUGCCAACGGCAUAGCUGGGUAGCUAUGUGUGGACGGGAUAAGUGCUGAAAGCAUCUAAGCAUGAAGCCCCCCUCAAGAUGAGAUUUCCCAACUUCGGUUAUAAGAUCCCUCAAAGAUGAUGAGGUUAAUAGGUUCGAGGUGGAAGCAUGGUGACAUGUGGAGCUGACGAAUACUAAUCGAUCGAAGACUUAAUCAA
rnacentral:rRNA from 1 species